rnacentral:rRNA from 1 species
GUCUUCUUGUUAUAUAUAUGAAGUCUGGCCUGCCCACUGAGUUUUGAAGGGCCGCGGUAUUUUGACCGUGCAAAGGUAGCAUAAUCAUUAGUCUUUUAAUUGGGGGCUGGAAUGAAGGGCCGCACGAGGUAUAGACUGUCUUAUUUAAAUUGUUGUUAGAAUUUAAUUUUUAAGUUAAAAAGCUUAAAUUUUUUUAAAGGACGAGAAGACCCUAUAGAAUUUUAUAUAUAAUUAAAUAAGUGGUUUUUGGUUGUUUUUAUAUUUAUUUAUAUUUAUAUUUUGUUGGGGUGAUAGGAAAAUAAGAUUAACUUUUUUUAUUUAUUUACAUUGAUUUAUGAUUAUUUGAUCCAUUUUUAGUGAUUAUAAGAUUAAAUUACCUUAGGGAUAACAGCGUAAUUUCCCUUUAGAGUUCUAAUCGACGGGGAAGUUUGCGACCUCGAUGUUGGAUUAAGAUUAAUUUUUGGUGUAGAAGCUUAAAUAUUAGGUCUGUUCGACCUUUAAAUUCUUACA